rnacentral:rRNA from 1 species
GGGUGGGGGUGGCCUGCCUGCCUGCCUUUAGUGCCGCGCGGAGGCACAGAGCAGCGUCGGGCAGGUGGUGGACAGGAGACGGGCGACAGGCGGAGGUGCGGGGUCUAGAGGUCGAGGGGGGUGGAGGGUUCGUCCCCGGCGACGAGGCACCGGUGUCUCACAGCCGACCCCCCUGCUUUACCGCCGCGAACGACCGAGGCGGGACGACGACGAGCGCCGCCGCGACGAGGAGAGGCGCGGCCGACGGUGUCUCCGCAUGCUAAGCGAUCUAGGCUUGCCCUUGUAGUGGUAUUUUACCCUAGAAUUUCUCACCUGAGGACUACCAAUACAACACUCAUCGUGAAGUUGUAGACACAGAGAGUAGGGUUAGAUACUUAAUCCGGUCGUAACUAAAAAUGACUCCAAAACUAGUGGAGUUGUUCAUUCAUCGUACCGGUCACUAGCGGAUGUAUGUUUGAGUCGAUGUUCGUCGUAUAUAUAUCACCUGAUGACCUGAGUUCACGUCACUAGUCGUCUCGUCUAACACCUAUUAUUAGACCAGUGGGACUGGGACAUGGACAUAGUACUAAAGGAAGAAGGUUUGAACAGUACACGUCCGUUACCAGUGUUAUAUGUUGAUGGUCGUCAAGGCCGUGUAUAGCCGCGGGCCCACCGUCGACCCCACCUGCACCCGGUUCUUCCUCCAGUAGACCAGGUACCACCCCCGAGUCUGGUGGCUCGUCCCGCUGACGAGGUUCAAGUUCUGGUUGGGAGGGGUAACGACGUUCUCUCUAGGCUGGCAGUAGCUAGAAGAGGGUCCUUGUGGCAUGUUUCUGGUUCAACCGUUGACGACGUUCCCUCCUCAAUAUUCAUGCAAAUUGGUCCUGGGUCGUUUACGACGGAGGAAGGUCUAGUCACAUCCAGAAAGACCCUGAUGGUUAUUCUGCCAAUUCGACGGGUUUUUGAAGUGAGAAUUCUGGGGUCCGGGCCCGAUGUGAACGCCCGCACGAUGACAACACUCCGGGUGGUUCAAAGAGUAGCCACUGUCCGCGUCCUGCUGGGUUCGAGAAUACUGUACCUUACAUUGGACGUGGAUGAGGGUCAAAGAACGAGUCUUCUGGGGCUGGACGACACAUCGAGAGAGCAGCAAAAUAUUAUUGUGAUAACACCCGACGGGUUGUACGAGAACGCCGACGGUUUUGUUAUUAUGAGUAGGUCCUUCGACACAUUUAGGGUUGAGUGGAAUAAAUGUUAGACGGUAGCUACCGGGACCGUUUAUGUGGCCGGUCGGAGAACAGGUCACGUGAAGGGUGUACACGGGCCAUUUUCACGUGACCGUACAGUUCGAGUUGAUGUUCCUGAUGACCUCUCAGUUUCAUUGGUAGUGUUUGAAGUUGAUGGCGUACUUGAUGUGUCUGACCUUGGACCAACAGGUCGUGGGGUUGAAGUUGUUGUAGUGUUUCGAGAAGUCGAAGUUGAUGUUCGGCGAGAGGGGCAUGCCACCGGCGUAUUUGCUGUCGCGGUACAAGACCCCCUACUUCAAGAUGUUACUAGACGAGUUAGUUCGGCCAGGCAAGCCUUUGCGCGUCUGCCUUUAAGAAGACGUCUUCCUGGGCCUCUGGAAGUGGAAGCUUUUCCCAACCCGGAAGGGCGCCGCGCACAUGAAGUUGCCGCUGUUGACGCAGUACGGCGGAGGGCUGCGGAUAGGCACCGACGGAUUGCGCUCGGGAGGCUACUUCGUUGGCACCUGCGAGCUCGAGAACCACAAGACCUGGCGCGACCGGUGGGACGACCGGAUAAUACAGACUACUACUUGCUACAGCCGCUCGAAGACAGCCCAAGGUGCUCCACGCGCCGCUUUCCAGCAUAAGACAAGUAAGCCAAGGUGUCAACGUAUAUUCUCUUCUCUGCCCACUCCUUUCGACUACACACAUAUACACAAGACGAUUUAAUUUAUCCCGGGUUUUACAUCACCGUGGUUUCGAAACCACUUGACUAAUUAACUUAACAUACCGACAUCACUUAAUUUGCAUACUCAAUCAUGUAUUAUUACAAACACACUUUACCUCCCCUACGACAACCAGCUCCACU